rnacentral:rRNA from 1 species
UGGGGAAUUUUGGACAAUGGGGGAAACCCUGAUCCAGCCAUCCCGCGUGUGCGAUGAAGGCCUUCGGGUUGUAAAGCACUUUUGGCAGGAAAGAAACGGCAUGGGUUAAUACCCCGUGAAACUGACGGUACCUGCAGAAUAAGCACCGGCUAACUACGUGCCAGCAGCCGCGGUAAUACGUAGGGUGCAAGCGUUAAUCGGAAUUACUGGGCGUAAAGCGUGCGCAGGCGGUUCGAAAAGAAAGAUGUGAAAUCCCAGAGCUCAACUUUGGAACUGCAUUUUUAACUACCGGGCUAGAGUGUGUCAGAGGGAGGUGGCAUUCCGCGUGUAGCAGUGAAAUGCGUAGAUAUGCGGAGGAACACCGAUGGCGAAGGCAGCCUCCUGGGAUAACACUGACGCUCAUGCACGAAAGCGUGGGGAGCAAACAGG